AAGCCUGUAAUACUCCGUAUUUUUAAUACUAAUUUCGUACUAAUUAAGAAAAUAUAAAAGAAUUAAUAAAAAGGUAUUUUAAUUUUAUUUACAAGUUAAUAGGAAUAAAUUAUUAGUAAUAUGAAUUUGUUAGGAAUUUCCGGAAUUUUAAAAGAGUAACCUAAUCGACCUAGGGUUACUACCUUUUGGAAGGGAGUAUAAAAAGGAAAAGAAGAUGGAAUUUCAGAAAAAAAAAACCCUAAACCCUUUCUUCUCCCUCUCUCCCAGCCGACUUUUCUCUCUCCUCACUCUCUCCUCAGCCGAUUUCUCUCUCUCCCUCUCUCUCAGAGUUUUCUUUCUCUUUAUCUCGGAUCUCUUUCUCUCUCGCUGUUCUCCCUCUUUCGGGAUUUCUCUCCUUGUGCUCUUCGUCUCCCUCGCCGUGUUGGUGCGAAGGGUGUUCGUGGUUCGAGUGCGCAGGCGAGGAGGGUCGAGAUUCGGUGCGAGCCGGUCGCGAAAGAGCGGUUCGAGGGUUUUGUGUGGUUCGAACGGUGCGCAGGCGUCAAGGGUUGAAAGCUUGCGCGAGUUCGUCGAAGGGGUCGAGUUGUGCGCGAAGGUGUUCGAGGGUAGUGCGCCAAGCUAAGGUGAGGGUGCGCGAGAAAUCGCGUCGUGCGAGUGUAGCUGCGCGACAGGUUGCGAGAAGGUUUGUGUGAGCGUGGUUCCGCGUCGUGCGAGCGUGGUGGCGCGACGGAUCUGGGUCGCGCAAGGGGGUUUGGGCGACGGAAACCGGUUUCGGUGUUGUGCGCGUGUGUGGUGUGGUUUUCGGUCGCCGGAAUUCUUUCGCCGGCGAUUUCUAACGGUCCCAAUUUCAUAAGCGGCUCGUUCUAUUAAGUCAGCGAAAAUUCUCCGUUACAAGACUAGGUGAGCUGGUGCUGCUGCAUGACAUCAAGCAUAUGGGGGCUAGACUGUAGUUUGAAGUUAACUUUUGGUUUGAUCAUUAAUGAAUUUUAUAGAACAUUAUUACAUGGUUUGAGUUUGAAUAAAGAGGGGUCAUCUAUGAUUCCCGAGUUGUAAUUACAUUUUCUAUUCCGCUGCAAUUUGGUUUUGAGACAAUGAAUUUGAGUUACCAUAUUUCUAAUUA